AACGAACGCUGGCGGCAGGCUUAACACAUGCAAGUCGAGCGCCCCGCAAGGGGAGCGGCAGACGGGUGAGUAACGCGUGGGAAUCUACCCAUCUCUACGGAAUAACGCAUGGAAACGUGUGCUAAUACCGUAUACGUCCUUCGGGAGAAAGAUUUAUCGGAGAUGGAUGAGCCCGCGUUGGAUUAGCUAGUUGGUGGGGUAAAGACCUACCAAGGCGACGAUCCAUAGCUGGUCUGAGAGGAUGAUAAGCCACACUGGGACUGAGACACGGCCCAGACUCCUACGGGAGGCAGCAGUGGGGAAUAUUGGACAAUGGGCGCAAGCCUGAUCCAGCCAUGCCGCGUGAGUGAUGAAGGCCCUAGGGUUGUAAAGCUCUUUCACCGGUGAAGAUAAUGACGGUAACCGGAGAAGAAGCCCCGGCUAACUUCGUGCCAGCCGCCGCAGUAACAC
rnacentral:rRNA from 1 species